rnacentral:rRNA from 1 species
CCUACGGGAGGCAGCAGUGGGGAAUAUUGCACAAUGGGCGAAAGCCUGAUGCAGCGACGCCGCGUGAGUGAAGAAGUAUCUCGGUAUGUAAAGCUCUAUCAGCAGGGAAGAAAGACCCGCAAGGGGGAUGACGGUACCUGACUAAGAAGCCCCGGCUAACUACGUGCCAGCAGCCGCGGUAAUAAUCGA